AUCUCUCUGUAAAGCAAACUCAACCUGCAUGGACCCUGCAAAGACGACAAAGGCCUCUCCUGAGAACCGUCCAUUCUUAUUGACCAACAGCACAUCCACAAUGUCCAGUCCAGCAAAGAACUUGAUGAUGUCUAUAUCAGUGCAGUUGAAAGGAAGCCCCCUCAGACGAACCACAGGAAAGGCAGGGGGCUGAAAUCCACCACCGUAGCUGUAGGGUUGAAAGCCACUAGGACCACUGCUCACUGCGAAGUAGGGAUUUGAUUCCAUCAUUCUUUGUCUCUUUGAGCCGACCUCGUACCCAUCCGAAACCCCCCCGCUUCCCAACAUUGCCCCUCUGGAUCCGUACAUGGUUUCGUGUCUUUGAAAUCUUCAGCAAUCUCGAUCGAAUCCCAGAGGAAAUAGAGAGAUUUGAAAAAUCCAAGGUUAAAUUGCGUGUAUUUGUACCCAAAUUUCGAAUCCCUAACCAAGUUCGCUCGUUCGUUGGCAGGUUGAGAAAUGAAGAAAUUAACCCUAGCUGGGGUUCU
rnacentral:misc_RNA from 1 species